rnacentral:rRNA from 1 species
GACGAACGCUGGCGGCGUGCUUAACACAUGCAAGUCGAACGGAAAGGCCCUGCGUUUGCGGGGUGCUCGAUUGGCGAACGGGUGAGUAACACGUGAGUAACCUGCCCUUGACUUUGGGAUAACUCCAGGAAACUGGGGCGAAUACACGAUAUGAGCUCCUGCUCCACGGUGGGGGUUGGAAAGUUUCGGCGGUGGGGGCUGGUCUCGCGGCUUAUCAGCCUGUUGGUGGGGUAGGGGCGUACAAAGGCUUUGACGGGUAGCCGGCCUGAGAGGGUGACCGGCCACCUUGGGCCUGCGGUACGGCCCAGACUCCUACGGGAGGCAGCAGUGGGGAAUCUUGCACAGUGGGCGGAAGCCUGAUGCAGAGACGCCGCGUGCGGGAUGACGGCCUUCGGGUUGUAAACCGCUUUCGCCUGUGACGAAGCGUGAGUGACGGUAAUGGGUAAAGAAGCACCGGCUAACUACGUG